UAAAGGAAUCCGCAGUGACAAACUUUACCCGUUCCGUCUCUCUCUCACUCGCGAUGUCGUCGCCUCUCCUUCUCCGCUAAAACUAGCAUAAGGUAACGCUAAGGUUCGACGUGGAGAGGAGCUCGAACUCAAGGCGAGGCCGCCUGCUAUGAUUGACUUCUUCUGUACAAAGGUCCUCAUCGAGUAGACGCAACGGCACUAGGCUCAUCAACAAAGGACAGAUACAAAUUGUCACUACACAAGAAGUUAAUCACCCACAAAUACAACAAUCCUUCUACCUCCACGUACAGUCAACUUUAAAGAUCACUGUAAAUGUCAUCUUAAUGAACACUUUAAUUUGACAUUUAGUUACAUUAAGUUGACGUUAUGAUGCCAUAAAUGUGGCAUUUUUACAAUGACCUUGAGUUGACAUCAUAAAUACCACAUUAACAUGACAUUUAGAUGACGUUAGUAUGACAUUUUUAGACAUAAAUGUAACUUCAAGAUGACAUUUUAUGUGAAACUAAUAUCAUCUUAAUGUGACUUUUGAGACAUAAAACGUGACUUCAAGAUAGCAUUUUAUGUUAACAUAAAUCUGACAUCAAGGUGACUGUAAAUGUCAUCUUAAUGAACAUUUAAUGUGACAUUGAGUUGACGUUGUGAUGACAUAAAUGUGACAUUUAGAUGACAUUUUAGAGUGACCUUGUACAUCAUAAAUGUCACAUUAAGAUGAUAUUUAAUGUUACAUUUAGAUGACGUUAAUGUGACAUUUCGAGUGACAGUAAACGUGACAAUAAGAUGACAUAAAAAUGUUCUUUAUCG
rnacentral:rRNA from 1 species